ACACACACACACACACACGAACUCGCACGAGCUCCGCCGAGCCUUCACACCCGCUCCUGCACAGGCGCUCCCUCACACGCAGGGGCACUCCCUUACACACGGGCUCCUUCGCGCUCCCUCACAUACACACACACACGCUCUCUCCGCUCAUUCUCCCUCUCACACAGUUCCCUCUCGCGCACACGCGCACACACACACACACACACACUCUCCCUCAGACUCCCUCUCACACUCUCUCUCGUCCUCUCUCUCCUCCCUCCUUCCCUCACACGCACGCUCGCCCCAACGGCCCCAACCGCCGGCAACAAAGCGGCGGGCAGCGCGCCGGGCUGGCGGCGCACGCACACUUACACACACUCACUCACUCACUUAUACACACACAAUGCUGCCGCGGCACCUACCAGGCGGGCAGCCUCGGCCCAGGUGCCGGCUCGGAGAGAUCCCACGUUAGCGUUUCGGCUCCUUCUGUUGCCGGAGCGGGAAAGAACAUCUUCGUGUGCCAGUGUAAACAAAGGAGUUGAUGUGCUGCGCUCGUAAAACUGACGAGGGAUGUGUUCUCUUCUUGGAUGAUUUCGGAUUAAGAUACACACGAAAUGCGAAUCAAAAGAUUUAGCACACCUUCCUGAGUUGCAGGAUACUGUGGGUUCUUCCUCUCCCCUAAAUAUUAAAGUAUAUUUGCAAUACUAUUGAAA